AUGGGAGCUUGCUCCCUGAUGUUAGCGGCGGACGGGUGAGUAACACGUGGGUAACCUGCCUGUAAGACUGGGAUAACUCCGGGAAACCGGGGCUAAUACCGGAUGGUUGUUUGAACCGCAUGGUUCAGACAUAAAAGGUGGCUUCGGCUACCACUUACAGAUGGACCCGCGGCGCAUUAGCUAGUUGGUGAGGUAACGGCUCACCAAGGCGACGAUGCGUAGCCGACCUGAGAGGGUGAUCGGCCACACUGGGACUGAGACACGGCCCAGACUCCUACGGGAGGCAGCAGUAGGGAAUCUUCCGCAAUGGACGAAAGUCUGACGGAGCAACGCCGCGUGAGUGAUGAAGGUUUUCGGAUCGUAAAGCUCUGUUGUUAGGGAAGAACAAGUGCCGUUCAAAUAGGGCGGCACCUUGACGGUACCUAACCAGAAAGCCACGGCUAACUACGUGCCAGCAGCCGCGGUAAUACGUAGGUGGCAAGCGUUGUCCGGAAUUAUUGGGCGUAAAGGGCUCGCAGGCGGUUUCUUAGUCUGAUGUGAAAGCCCCCGGCUCAACCGGGGAGGGUCAUUGGAAACUGGGGAACUUGAGUGCAGAAGAGGAGAGUGGAAUUCCACGUGUAGCGGUGAAAUGCGUAGAGAUGUGGAGGAACACCAGUGGCGAAGGCGACUCUCUGGUCUGUAACUGACGCUGAGGAGCGAAAGCGUGGGGAGCGAACAGGAUUAGAUACCCUGGUAGUCCACGCCGUAAACGAUGAGUGCUAAGUGUUAGGGGGUUUCCGCCCCUUAGUGCUGCAGCUAACGCAUUAAGCACUCCGCCUGGGGAGUACGGUCGCAAGACUGAAACUCAAAGGAAUUGACGGGGGCCCGCACAAGCGGUGGAGCAUGUGGUUUAAUUCAAAGCAACGCGAAGAACCUUACCAGGUCUUGACAUCCUCUGACAAUCCUAAAGAUAGGACGUCCCCUUCGGGGG
rnacentral:rRNA from 1 species